rnacentral:piRNA from 1 species
UGGGCACCGUCAGCAGGUUCUGCAGCUCCC